rnacentral:rRNA from 1 species
AUGAAGACCAACAUGGGACUUAGUGAGUUCUCAGGAGAAUUGUCCGAGGCUAAGGGUGUUAUUUCUAUGGAGCUCACAGUCGGAAGCAAAACAUUGCCGACAGCAUUUUUUGUUGUCGAUGUCAAAGGCCAGUAUAAUAUUCUUUUGGGACGCGACUGGAUUCAUGCAAAUUGUUGCAUCCCUUCUACUCUUCAUCAAUGCUUAAUUCAGUGGGUUAAUGAUGAUGUCGAGGUGAUUGAGGCGGACAAUUCUUCUUGCGUUGCUUUGACGGAGGCGCCGGUUGAUUGGCAACAUGGUGACAUGCGAUAUUUGACCGGUAGGGAUUUAUCGGAUUAUGAUUAUAUCAGUAUCGGUAGAGAUGGUUUUGUACCUAUAAAUGCACAGCUGGCUGACAUAGCUCGACUUAAUGAUUUAUCUAUAUAA